AGUGAGGAAUAUUGCGCAAUGGGGGAAACCCUGACGCAGCGACGCCGCGUGGAGGAUGAAGGCCCUCGGGUUGUAAACUCCUGUCGGGUGGGAAGAAUCCCCCGCAAGCUAAUACCUUGCGGGGUUGACGGUACCACCAAAGGAAGCUCCGGCUAAUUCCGUGCCAGCAGCCGCGGUAAUACGGGAGGAGCGAGCGUUGUUCGGAAUCAUUGGGCGUAAAGGGCGUGUAGGCGGCCUGUCAAGUCAGAAGUGAAAGCCCCCGGCUCAACCGGGGAAGGGCUUUUGAAACUGGCGGGCUUGAGUUCGGAAGAGGGAAGCGGAAUUCCCAGUGUAGCGGUGAAAUGCGUAGAUAUUGGGAAGAACACCAGAGGCGAAGGCGGCUUCCUGGUCCGAAACUGACGCUGAAACGCGAAAGCCAGGGGAGCGAACGGGAUUAGAUACCCCGGUAGUCCUGGCUGUAAACGAUGAACACUAGGUGUGGGGGGUGUUGACCCCCUCCGCGCCGUAGCU
rnacentral:rRNA from 1 species